rnacentral:rRNA from 1 species
GAUGAACGCUGGCGGCGUGCUUAACACAUGCAAGUCGAACGAAGCAUUUAGAACAGAUUAUUUCGGUAUGAAGUUCUUUAUGACUGAGUGGCGGACGGGUGAGUAACGCGUGGGUAACCUGCCUUGUACUGGGGGAUAGCAGCUGGAAACGGCUGGUAAUACCGCAUAAGCGCACAAUGUUGCAUGACAUGGUGUGAAAGACUCCGGUGGUAUAAGAUGGACCCGCGUCUGAUUAGCUAGUUGGUGAGAUAACAGCCCACCAAGGCGACGAUCAGUAGCCGACCUGAGAGGGUGACCGGCCACAUGGGGACUGAGACACGGCCCAGACUCCUACGGGAGGCAGCAGUGGGGAAUAUUGCACAAUGGAGGAAACUCUGAUGCAGCGACGCCGCGUGAGUGAAGAAGUAAUUCGUUAUGUAAAGCUCUAUCAGCAGGGAAGAUAGUGACGGUACCUGACUAAGAAGCUCCGGCUAAAUACGUGCCAGCAGCCGCCGUAA